CUGCUUACGCUUAGAACCUUAUUCUUGCAGCUAUUGUAGAUGGGUUUUAAAAGCAUCUUUAGGUUUCGCUGAAAUCAUUUCCCGGAGAACGGCGUAUGGGUGCACUCUUCUACCUAAAGCUAUAUACCGAAUUGAACUGAAUUGAACUGAAAUCAUUUCUCGUUAUUUCCAAGUGCACACGCGGCAUAUGGUGGCAAUCAAAUUUAGUGAACAUAAUCACUUUUUUGCAAGAAACAUCAUGCCAAACAGAAAUAAACAUACAGUAGCGUUGAAAAAACAUUUUGGAAGCACUUUUAAGCAUUGCUGUGCUAUAUGAGUAUAAGUACCCAGAUAGCCAAGAGUGCUAAAAUCACAUUUCGAUGAAGCUUUGCGGCAAAGUUUGCUUCAAUUGUAACAUCAAUUUAGUUGGAAGUUCAAAAAAUACACCAAAAGUUGAACAAACUAUUAACGCAGAUGAGCAAUAGUCGUAGGCAUGUACCCGAGAAGCUACAAUUGUUGCCAAUAUCAUCAGUUGCAGAUAUUGAAAAAUUUCAAACUGCCAAUGAUGAAGAAUACA